GUAGACAUAGUUUAAAAAAUACUAGAUUGUGAUUCUAGAGAUGAAAGAUAAUGCCUUUCUGUCCACC
rnacentral:tRNA from 1 species